rnacentral:lncRNA from 1 species
CUGCCUUCAAUAAUUUGGUAUUACACGUAAAACGGCCGUGAUUCCUGGUUAAUUCUUCUUAUGUUUAUGGAUAGUUCUAUAGAGUCUGUAUAAUAUAAGAGAUCAAAAAACUGCUCUUAUCAGCGUUUUUCAUGGGACGCGUCAUUUUGCUAUAAUAUAAUUGUGGCGACUGAGUGAACUAAUAGCGCUAGUGGUUAACGUCCGGAAUUUUUACGACAGGGUAUUAGAAAAAUCGGAAAAUGUAACAAUAUUAUUAUUGGUUUGGUUCGUACGGUCAUAGCCAAUCUCUGAUUAUGAUAUGGGCUGGGCAAUAUGUAGUAUUAUCAUCCAGUUUGAAAUUAUUUCUAAACGUAAUCUAUUUUUUGUUCUGUGUUAUUUUUAAAAAUAAUUGUAUCGAGACGGGCGAUGACUACGCGCGAUUAUUAAACAGUUAAAUCCAGUACCGCGCUGUCCCAUACCUCCAGCCACAACAAUAAGACGGGUUUUUUUUUUUUUGACGAAUUCGUGAGCGAUAGCCGACGGGAGUAUAUUAUAGUAACUGUGCGGACGAUGAUAAUAUUAUAAAGAAGGCUGCGAACGAGUGCCUUAAGUGAAAAAUGAAAUACACAGUGCGAAGAACGUGUCUCGCGUAACAGAGCGACUCUCGGGUACGACAACGAUAAUAAUAACACUGCACAUACACUUCGGCAGUAUACAGGGCGAUCCACAGUGGCGUAUCUAGACAUAUUUUUUUUUAGGUUAAUCUCGAUACGUUUGGACGGAAUAUAUUAUAAUAAUUUUGUUGAUUUUGUUAGUAUAUUCAAGUAAACUUGUUACACACAUGUUUAUUUUAUUUUUUUACCCAGCGGAAUAAACUGUUUAAAAUUUAGAAUCUGUAUUAAGAUUUUACUCAGUCGUUAUUGGGCGUUUAUCAAUUCGGUAAUAAACCCAUUCGACAGAUAAGAUAUUUCGACAUAGCGACAAAUUAUUUUGCCAUCUAUAAAUUUUGUUGGAGUUAGGUCCGAAGCUUCUAAAGUUGGGUUAUAUAUUGUGUAUCUAUUAACCAUGUAUCAUUAUUUUCAAAUUAAAACAACGUUUGUUCGUUUCGGAGCAUAAAAAUGACGUCUAAAGUAUUAUAAAAUCCUUCUGUUUUUAUUUCUACGUAGAAAAUUCGUUUUUUAACUGCAGUGGUAGUAAUUACAUAACACAGAUUUUUUUUUUUUUUUUUGAAAAGUGGAUAGUCCUGAUGGACCGCUGAAGUGAACAAUAUAACGUAAAUCGUCUAAAGAUUUUUCGAAAUUUUUUUUCGGAAAAUUUAAAAAACAACUAGCACUCCUAUAAAAUGUAACCGUUGUUUUAUGUUAUCCUUAUUUUCGGGGGUGGAUCCAAUACCCACUUUUGAUCUUCGAAUGGCAACUGAUAUAAGAGAAAUUCCGUAAAUAAAUUAAGUAUAAGUUAAUUAAAUAUAUUUCGGUGUUGAAAUUGUCGGUUUCCAUGACACGUUUACGAGAUGAUAUUUCACAUUUUAAGUUUGUCGUUUUGUAGCCAGGGAGAGGGUAAAACAUUAAUUGUGUGGUCAUUACCUACGUUAUAUGUUGAUCUCCCUGUAUAUACGAUAUAAAUAUAAUAAACGCCGAAAAAUGUAUUUAUUUACUUUUUUAUCGUCGCCGUCACCACAUUUACGUACACCGUCGUAUUGUUAUGGGAGAAAACAUUUUGAAAAGUAUCCGCGAAUAUUACGAAUAUUAACAGAAGACGAUGCGUUUUUUUUUUUCAUUUUUCAUAUCACUUUUUUAUUUUUAGUAUACCAAAUAAAGUUCAUGAUUGAGCAGUUUUUUUUUUAUUUUUUUUUUUUUGUUUUCAUUGAAAUUUUUUGAACGUUUUUCGCGGUCGUUAAACAUUUUUUUUUUUUUUUUUUACGUGUUGGAACAUAAUUAUGCGAAGUAACGAUUUACCGAAAACAUAGAUAUAGGAAAAAUUUGUAAGAUGCAAUCAUCUAUAAAAUUGGUAACACGCAGUUUUUAACGUAAAAAAUAUAGAAAUAAUAAAACUAAUGUUAUUUACUCAAUAGCAAUAGAUUGUCAAAAGACACGGAAAACGGAAUAAUGGCCUGCUCACAACGGACGAGGCGGACCAAGGAGAUUGGGUACAUGAAAUGCAAAUUAUCUACGAUAGACACGCGGUUAAGAAUAUCGUAUUGUUUCAAGGAUUUAAACUUUAAACUCAGAGUCGACUCGAAUUUUUAACUUGUUGAAGGAAUUGUAAUGUAAUUACAAGGGAAUGAGUUAUGUUCGCGCAAUGUUGGCUCAUUGAGAUGCACGUGCAAACACCGAUCGGAUACGAGAAGAAGACGAAGAAGUAAAAGAGGCCAUUAUAGUUUUCACAAUUGUUGAGAACAUUUAAUACUAAUUUUGGAUUCUGAGCGGAGCGAGGAAUAUAUUGGUUUUACAAUGUUUUUAUUUUUAUUUUGCGUGAACAACGCUUCUAUACCAGAAAUUUUAUUCAGAUUUUCAAGCAAAUCGUUUUUUUUCUAAAAGAAAAUCCGACCGAAAAUCUUUAAGGAGAAUAAAGGUACGAUGUUAAACAAAUAUUAUAAAAAUAAAAAUAUAAUACAAACGUAAUUAUUUUACCGUAAUGUAUAACAUAUAUAUAUAUUGUUGACAAAGCAACGCUAUUAACCGUACUCUGCUCAGAAUCGUUUUCGUUAGCGACGGUUAAUCGUUGCGUACAUUAAAUUUCCCAUCUACUAUACCUUCCCGACUACUCGCAUGCAACAGCCCGUCCAUCGUGCGUGUCACGUACGCCCGUAUCUUUUUCUUUUCGCGGCCAAUAUUCCGCCUUGAAAAAUACGUACGUCACUGUGUAUUAUACGCCCGUACCAUCGACUAUUAUGUCCGUUCAGGGACGGAUCCAAAGGGGGCCUGGGCCACUCUCCUCAGACAUGUUAUUUCUCCGAUUUUUUUUUUUUUUUUCCAUAAUUCUAUAAAUCCCGAUGCCACCAUAUUCCAAUCACUGAUGCGCAUGCAAAAAUAACGUACAACAAUGUAUGCAAUUAUAUUUUAAUUGUAUUCGUGUUGUGAAAAAACUGUCGGGUCCUUUCCUCUCUCACCUUCCCCCCCCCACCCACCGCCCCCUCAGAUCUUUGCUCUUGAUCCGUGCGCGUGGCAAUUCAUUUCGUCGUGUGAACGCCCCGAACGCGUCCGACCGUCCGAAACAAUACGGCCGCCGUGCUCUCCGCUACGCGCUCGCCGUCUUAUCGCAACCGGCCGGUU